AUGCAUGAUUCAGCCACACCGGCCCUGUCACCAGGCAGGGAUGGAGAGAUAAUCGGCUACUUCCUGCCUGGGCAGGGGUCAGGAAGGCUCGGUGAGUCACCCGGCGGUGACCCAGGUGUCUCUGCUGAAAGCAACAGGGUCCCAGCCCCUUCUCGAUGCACUUCCUCUGCUGAGUCACCGCCUGACUAUGAAGGGAAAUCUCCGGGAGCAGCAGCAACAUGCUGGUGCCCACAGCUGACAAGAGAGCAGCUUCCAGAAACCAAACAAGCCUGUCGCCCUGACAACAGAGAGGGCCUGAGAAUGACAGGAUGUGGUCAUGAACACCAGCCCCACCGCCCGGCUCCCCCAGGCCCAGGCUGGAGGGUUAGCGCGUCCCAGGUGAGGAGGCUCAGAAACUGGCCACUCAGUGGAACCAGUCGGGAGUCACUCAAUCACAGAUCCCACGGGGCCCCAGGCACCACCCAGACCAGGUGCAGACAAGACUCAGGAACAAGUGCACUUCAGAAUCACGGACAGAGAGAACAGACUGUGGUGGCCAGGGGAAAGGGGCAUUGGAGUAGGGACGGAGUGUGAGGUCGGCCUUAGCAGAUGCAAGCUCUGAUAUACAGGAUGUGUACACAGCAAGGCCCUACUGUAGAGCGCAGGGAGCUAUAUUCAAUACCCAGUGAUAAGCCAUAAUGGACAAGACUAUGAAAAUGUAUGUAUGUAUAUAGCUACAGCACUUUGCUGCACAGCNNNNNNNNNNNNNNNNNNNNNNNNNNNNNNNNNNNNNNNNNNNNNNNNNNNNNNNNNNNNNNNNNNNNNNNNNNNNNNNNNNNNNNAAGAAAAAAAUCUGCUUCCACUGACCCAUAAUAGAUAAUUUGGUGUUUUAAUGCAGGCAUUAAAAAAAAUGCCUGUGAAUGUAGGCAGACAUCUGUGUCUGCCACCAAUAAAGUCCUAAGAUGCUCAUGUCCCAUUAUGGUAGUUGUGGAUCCUGAAAUACCAGCCACCCUUAAUCUCUACUUGGAAAUCACAGAUUUUUUUCAACUUGCCACUACAUCUGGCUAUUUAAUCCAUUAUUAAAGCAGCAUAUAUGUCACUGUGUUAUUAAUACAACUGUAUCCCACCAUUGUAGGGUAAGGAUAAGGCAGGAAAAUCUCAGAGAGCAGGGAGCAAGCUCUCCUUAUGUAGACGUUCUCGGAAGCCUGAGAGGUUGGGUCAGAACGCAAAGCUCUUCACCCAUGAGGCCACCAGUGCUCUGGUCCCCAGGAGAAGAGCAGGAACAUUCUGGGUUCAUUGUUUUUACUUUCUGUUGGCGGCUGCCAAGAGUCUCAGCUGUCAUUUUUAUAGCAGUUGUGAUGGUCUGUAUCACACGUUAAGAGGUGGCAGGCCGUGGGACACUGGAGUCCACGUGUGGUCUCAUGGAAAUGCCUGCACCCUUGACGGUGCUCACCACGCAGAAGACAUUUGAACCCUUUAGGAAAAUGGGAAAUACUUUCUCAGCACUUUCUCUCCCUCUCUCUCUGAGACUCCCCUGAUCCAUCUUGACCUCAGGCCUAUUAUCCAAAUCUGAAGUCCUGUCUCCUUCGUCUGACCCUGUUCUCAAGAGAACUGAACUGAAAUCUUUCCACCUAGCUGCUGAUCAGCCCAAACCCAGGAUAAGAAACCAGCCCAGCGGAAACCAGUUGAAGCAGAGUUUCCAGGGCCCUCAUAGACUUAUUUCAACACACUGGCCAGAAUCCAUAGAUCUGAUGGAUGAUUCAGAGUCUGAUUAAGAAACUCAGCAUGUUGAUGUCCUAAUCAGGCAACUAGAAUGAUCACCUCCUGUACACCAAGGGAGUAGCAGGUGAGAUAAUGCCCUUCAGGCCCCAGGGUGAUGUCAGGGUCAUUUAUCAUCUCUGAGCAGCACCUCUCAUUGGCCAUUCACCCAAGUGCACCAGCCUGGUUACAGUCCCACGUCAUGGGACCCCAGCGCACUCUGCACAUAUUCAUAACAUAUCAGGUACAUUGUGUGUGCAUGCUGAGUUUUGUCCCACUCUGCGAGCCCAUGGACUGUUGACCACCAGGCUCCUCUUCUGUGAAAUUUUCCAGACAAGAAUCCUAGAGUGGGUUGCCAUUUCCUCUUCCAAGGGAUCUUCCUGACCCAAGGAUUGAACCCUCAUAUCUCUUGUCUCCUGCAUUGGCAGGCAGGUUCUUUACCCCUGAGCCACAAGGUACGUACACGGUGGUGAUGAAACACAGAAUCACUGCUUCACAUGUGUAUUCCCUUCUGGGUCACAGCAGUGUGAGAGCACAGGUUCCCACACGUGCCUGACAUUGGCCACCAUGCCCUCACCCGCCUCUUCCACAUCCACCUCUGUGAUAACCUACUGCCCUUUGUUCCACUUCCUCCCCUCUGAGGUCACCCUAGCUCAGCCAAAUUUAGCUUUGAAAACAUAAAAGCAUGUGCAAGGAAAAAGCACACUGCCACCUGCCCUGUAGGCCCGCCACCCA
ensembl:lncRNA